CCCUUUGGGCCUGAGCCACGCUGGGUGCCACACCUGAUGCAUUGCUAGUGAAGUCCUGGCCUUCCGAAGCCUUUGCAGAAACCCAAAGGGCAGGUGUUAGUCUGUAGAUGAUUUUGUUUACUAUGAAUUCCCAAUUUCAAAUAUACUUCCCUCCCCACCAGAAAUGUAUCACUUUUGGAAAUGAAAUUUUAGGAAAAUUCUGCCUCCUUUGCAUCUGCAGGUUUCAAACAAAAUCACUUCCUUGACAUACACACAUGUUUCUGCUGUGAUUCAGAGAAGGUGCCUGGAAGAAGUCCUGGGAGGUGACCCUGCCUCACCAACCAUGGGCAGAACCAGGCCACCCAAUGUAAUCCACCCCAAAUCUUCUCAGUCCUCGUCUGAACCCUCUAACCCACACUGCACUGCUCUUCCUGAUCAGUAGUUAUUGCUGAGAAAAGCGUUGUUGUAAGUGAUGUGAAUGUCUCCAAUGGACCCGUCCCUGUCCUCCAUGACCCAGUGGUCCUUUCAGCUCGCCCCCCAGAAUUCUUGCUCCAUGUCCCAAAGAAAUGCAGGUACCCUUGUUCUUUUCAGGAAAACACAAAACAUCAAUUGAUAUCUUAGCCCUGAUACUUCACCCUCUUCUGUCUCAGAAUAAAGAGGCCUCUCCAUAUUAGUUGUCAUUUUCUAGAAUUGUAUAUAAAUGAACAGUACAGUACAGUAUGUACCCUUUCUUUUUGGCUUCUUAGUGUGAUUAUUUUUAUAUUUAUUCAAGUUGCUGUGUGUAUCAAUAGUUUGUUCCUUUUUAUUGCUGAAUAGUAGUCCAUUGAAUGGAUAUACCUCAAUUUUUAUCCAUUCACCUGAUGAGGGGCUAUGUCUAGUUUUUGGCUUUGCAAAUAAAACCUCUAUUUUUUUUUUU